CUUUUAACUAAAAUGGCGCCUUGGUGAGCGUCAUGAUAAUCGUGUUUGCUUAGAAGUUGUAGAAACUGCUGGGCUUGGCUGGGUGUUGUAGGGGCAGCGGUUCUCCGUUUACGAAUCGGUAUUGAUGAGAAGCAGUAUGUUUAGCUCUUCUGUGAAAGAUGCGGUACAUUCGGGUGUUUGCAGGUGUUUCCGUCCAACGGACUUCGUUUAUCGCAGAGAAAAUACCUGACCCGUCUAAUCAGCUUUCCGAACCUGACGUAAUUCGUCAUCGUUCUGAAAUAAAUCUCACUGAUGGAUGUGAUGUGGAUGCACCCAUACUUGAAGCUAUUGGAUCAGCAGUGGGGUACAGUAAUCAUUCUCCAGACCUGUCAGCCAGGCUCAUUCAAGUUCCUCAAGUAUACCGUUCGUCUUCGAUGAAUGCUCUCAUGUGUCAAGUUAGCGGCGAGUUGGAGCUCAAGGUCAAGACAUUGGUACUGGUAGAAAGCUGCUUUAGGGACUCAAUUGUCACCUUAAGAUCUUGGAUCUUGUUUCACUUCCGGCUAGACCUCCCAAGUCGGAGGUAGGGGAAAUUCUGUGGUGGGAUCGGAUUUUUACUGGAGCCUCAGGACUGCAGACGCAACCUUCAACUUCAAGAAGGAUCUCAUCUCUUUACUGCCAUCAGAACUCCUGACCUGCAUCCUAAUAAUUCUGCUUUUGGUUGAGUUAUUUUGGUUGUGCUUGUCUAGUUAUCAUAAUUGACAGCUCAUGUGUUGGAGAUUUUUGUCACACGCACUGAACUACCGUGAAAGUGAUAACCUAGCAGUGGAAUUCUUUGUUCAGAAUUUGAAUGGCUUGAGGGGGGGGGG